CUUUGGCUGCUGGGAGCAGGUCCCAUGGAUGCUGAGGUCACCCAGAUGCCAAGAUACAGCAUUAUACAAACAGGAACCGAGAAGACCCUGGAGUGUUCUCAGGAUAUGAACCAUUUUGCAAUGUUCUGGUAUCGACAAGACCCAGGACAGGGGCUGAGGCUGAUCUAUUAUUCAAGUGGUAGCCCAAGCACUACCAAAGGGGAUGUUGCUGAAGGGUACAGUGUCUCCCGAAAGGAGCAGAAGCAUUUCCCCCUGACCCUGUAGUCUGCCAGCACCAACCAGACCUCUGUGUACCUCUGUGCCAGCAGUGA